rnacentral:rRNA from 1 species
UACGUAGGGUGCGAGCGUUGCCCGGAUUUAUUGGGCGUAAAGGGCGCGUAGGCGGUCACGCACGUCCGUUGUGAAAUCGCUCGGCUCAACUGGGCGGGGUCAGCGGAUACGGCGUGGCUGGAGCAAGCUAGGGGGCAAUGGAAUUCCCGGUGUAGUGGUGGAAUGCGUAGAUAUCGGAAGGAACACCAGUGGCGAAGGCGGUUGCCUGGAGCUUUGCUGACGCUGAUGGCGCGAAAGCGUGGGAGCGAUCGG